GACUACCUAGUUCAGUGGUUAGAGCACCUGUCCAUAUUUGCAGGAGGUCUUAGGUUUAAUUUCUGGUGUGGUCA